GAUGAACGCUGGCGGCGUGCCUAAUACAUGCAAGUCGAGCGAACAGACGAGGAGCUUGCUCCUCUGACGUUAGCGGCGGACGGGUGAGUAACACGUGGAUAACCUACCCAUAAUACUGGGAUAACUUCGGGAAACCGGAGCGAAUACCGGAUAAUAUAUUUAACCGCAUGGUUCAAUAGUGAAAGACGGUGUUUCUGUCACUGAUAGAUGGAUCCGCGCCGCAUUAGCUAGUUGGUAAGGUAACGGCUUACCAAGGCAACGAUGCGUAGCCGACCUGAGAGGGUGGUCGGCCACACUGGAACUGAGACACGGUCCAGACUCCUACGGGAGGCAGCAGUAGGGAAUCUUCCGCAAUGGGCGAAAGCCUGACGGAGCAACGCCGCGUGAGUGAUGAAGGUCUUCGGAUCGUAAAACUCUGUUAUUAGGGAAGAACAAAUGUGUAAGUAACUAUGCACGUCUUGACGGUACCUAAUCAGAAAGCCACGGCUAACUACGUG
rnacentral:rRNA from 1 species